UGGGGAAUAUUGGACAAUGGGGGGAACCCUGAUCCAGCCAUGCCGCGUGUGUGAAGAAGGCCUUAUGGUUGUAAAGCACUUUAAGCGAGGAGGAGGGUACUGGUAUUAAUACUACCAGCUACUGGACGUUACUCGCAGAAUAAGCACCGGCUAACUCUGUGCCAGCAGCCGCGGUAAUACAGAGGGUGCGAGCGUUAAUCGGAUUUACUGGGCGUAAAGCGUGCGUAGGCGGCUAAUUGAGUCGGAUGUGAAAUCCCCGAGCUUAACUUGGGAAUUGCAUUCGAUACUGGUUAGCUAGAGUGUGGGAGAGGAUGGUAGAAUUCCAGGUGUAGCGGUGAAAUACGUAGAGAUCUGGAGGAAUACCGAUUGCGAAGACAACCAUCUGGCCUAACACUGACGCUGAGGUACGAAAGCAUGGGGAGCAAACAGG
rnacentral:rRNA from 1 species